UUUUAGAGUACUGUGUAUCUAAACCUCCCCUUCAAUUAUUUGUUUAUUUACCUUUAAAGUACUGAGACUCAAGAGAGGGAGAUUGGGGGAUUGAGAUGCAUCUAAGCGAGAACGAAGGGAUAGAGGGGAAUCGUUUCGUUGUAACAGGAGGUCUAGGUUUCGUGGGAGCCGCGCUGUGCCUGGAACUUGUUAGGAGAGGCGCAGAGGAGGUGCGAUCUUUCGAUACUCGCUCCUGUUCUCCCUGGUCCCUCGAUCUCCAGAAAAAUGGCGUCCGCUGCAUUCGAGG